rnacentral:lncRNA from 1 species
AGACUUUACUGAACACCUACUCUAUGCAAGGCCUCUGGUUCAGUUCUGUGGUGAAGACAAAAAGAGUUACAUUGAACUGAAAACAUCAAUCUAUUUGGGAGAGUGGAG